ACGAACGCUGGCGGCGUGCUUAACACAUGCACGUCGAACGGUAAGGCCCCAGCUUGCUGGGGUACACGAGUGGCGAACGGGUGAGUAACACGUGGGUGACCUGCCCCGCACUUCGGGAUAAGCCUGGGAAACUGGGUCUAAUACCGGAUAGGACCGCACCGUGAGGGUGUGGUGGAAAGUUUUUCGGUGUGGGAUGGGCCCGCGGCCUAUCAGCUUGUUGGUGGGGUAAUGGCCUACCAAGGCGGCGACGGGUAGCCGGCCUGAGAGGGUGGACGGCCACAUUGGGACUGAGACACGGCCCAGACUCCUACGGGAGGCAGCAGUGGGGAAUAUUGCACAAUGGGCGGAAGCCUGAUGCAGCGACGCCGCGUGGGGGAUGACGGCCUUCGGGUUGUAAACUCCUUUCACCAUCGACGAAGGUUUUCUGACGGUAGAUGGAGAAGAAGCACCGGCUAACUACGUG
rnacentral:rRNA from 1 species